UGCUCUUCUGAUCUGGAAUACCUUUCGGAGGAGCGUGAGACUCUUGAAAAGGAACCAAAUUCUGGAGCUGAAGGUCUCAAUAAAGGAGAUGAAGAAUGCAUUUGAAGGCGCUGCAAAUAGAGCAGACUGUAUGAAAGAGAGAAUUUGUGAACUCAAAGACAGAAAAAUAGAAAUGAUACAGGUAAAAGAGAAAAGAGAACUAAGUUCUUAAAAAUGAACAGAUUUCACAAGAAUUAUCCAACUCUUUUCGGAAGGGCAACGUUACGAAAAUAGGUUUCCCAAAAGGAGAAGAAAGAGGAGAGCAGAGAGUUUAUUUAAAGAAACAGUAGCUGAGAACUUCCUAGACCUGAAAAGGAACAGAAUUGUACAAGUCCGUGAAGUGAAGAGAACAUCUAGUUACCGCAUCGCAGAAAGACCUUCUCUAAGACACAUUAUUUUAAAACUGAAAAGUCAACGACAAAGAAUUUUAAAGGCAGCCAAGAAAAAAAUGGAUGGUAACCUACAAAGGAACCCCAAUUAGACUAUUAGUAGAUUUCUCAGCAGAGACUCCACAGGCCAGGAGGGAGUGGAAUGACAUUCUCAAAAUGCUGAAAAAUAAAACUGUCAGCCAAGAAUAUGCUAUCCAGCAAAAUUACCCUUCAGAUCCGAAGGAGAAAUAAAGGCUUUCUUAGACAAAGCUGAGGAAGGUCAUCACCACUAGACCUGCCUUACAAGAAGUGUUGGAAGGAGCUCUUAAAAUGAAAGGGCAAAAGUACACAAAACUUUGAGUAAAGUGAUAAAUAGAAUCAGAAAAUUACAACUCUGUGUCAGAAUAGGUUGUUAAGCACUUAUAUCAUGAAGGUUAAAAAGGAAAGAAAGCAUUAAAAAAACAAAACAAACCCCCCAAAACCAACUAUAGGAACUUCGAUUUGGCAAAAAAAUCACAACACAUAAAGGAGUAAUUUGAGACAACGGAAGCAUAAAAGGAGAAGAGGAAAAGGAUGUAACCCACAUAGGUAAAUGAAGAUAGAUGCUCUCUGCAGCAAGGACUGUUUUCUCUCUGAGACCUUUUGUACAGAGAAUGAUCUAGAAUCUUGCUGCUCUUAAGUGUGGUCCGUGGAAAGCAGCAUGGGCAGCCAGGGUUGCUGGUUGGGAUGGCGGAGUCUCAGGCACCGUCUGGGGCUACCCAGUCAGAAUCUGCAUUUCACAGUGUCCCCAGGGAUGUGCUCGCACAUCAGAGUUUGAGAGGCGCCGAUCUGGAGCUGACUGUGCAUUUCUUUAACUUUAUUUAGUUUGAGACUUAGCUGCUAAAAUAAUUAAACCUUCCAGCUGUUUAUCUUCUUGUGUUUGUUUACCUUGGAUUUUUACGUA